AACGCGCGGCGCGUUUGUAGCUCAUAUGUAUCCCCGGAUCCCGCCUUUUGCUUUUCAUCCAUCAUUUAAAAACUCUCUCUCUCUCUCUCUUCGCUGGCUUAGACGAGGAACAAGAAUUGGAGAAAAUUUUGUCGUGGCCCUGAGAAUCUAGGGUUUAGAUUUCAUUCUGCCGUUCUCCGAUUCGAUUCUAUAAUCUUAUUUCAUCUGGCACGGAUCAUAAAUUAACUCAUUGAGUUGAAUGAUGGAAGAUGUCUUAAUGAGUGGUUGAUUAGUUCUAGUUCUGAUAGUCCGUUUAUAUUCGGAUGGCUUGUUACUGGAUUACUUGGGCAUCCACCUGCUGCGUUUGUCUCUACUCUCUUGUUCCAGGCCAGAAUGUUUC